GACAGAGGGGGCAAGCGUUGCUCGGAAUUACUGGGCGUAAAGGGCGCGUAGGCGGCAUGGCAAGUCAGGAGUGAAAGUCCGGGGCUCAACCCCGGAUCUGCCGUGCCGACUGUCAAACUCGAGGACUGUAGAGGCAGACGGAAUUCCGGGUGUAGCGGUGGAAUGCGUAGAGAUCCGGAGGAAGACCGGUGGCGAAGGCGGCAUCCUGGACCGGUAUUGACGCUGAGGCGCGAAAGCCAGGGGAGCAAACGGG
rnacentral:rRNA from 1 species